GACGAACGCUGGCGGCGUGCUUACACAUGCAAGUCGAACGGUGAAGCGCCUUCCUUUUUGGUGGGUGUGGAUGAGUGGCGAACGGGUGAGUAACACGUGAGUAACCUGCCCCCUUCUUCUGGAUAACCGCAUGAAAGUGUGGCUAAUACGGGAUAUUCUGGGUCUGUCGCAUGAUGGGUCUGGGAAAGAUAUUGUUUCGGUGGGGGAUGGGCUCGCGGCCUAUCAGCUUGUUGGUGGGGUGAUGGCCUACCAAGGCGGUGACGGGUAGCCGGCCUGAGAGGGUGGACGGUCACACUGGGACUGAGACACGGCCCAGACUCCUACGGGAGGCAGCAGUGGGGAAUAUUGCACAAUGGGCGCAAGCCUGAUGCAGCGACGCCGCGUGAGGGAUGGAGGCCUUCGGGUUGUGAACCUCUUUCGCCAGUGAAGCAGGCCUGCCUCGUUUGUGGGUGGGUUGACGGUAGCUGGAUAAGAAGCGCCGGCUAACUACGUG
rnacentral:rRNA from 1 species